AAAGAGGCAUUAUUUUCAUUCGAGGACGUGCCUUCCUCUUUGCCCCCUGCUGUCACUAACAUUUUGCAGGAGUUCGCUGACGUCUUCCCACAAGACGUGCCACCGGGAUUACCACCUAUUCGAGGGAUUGAGCAUCAAAUUGACUUAAUUCCCGGUGCAUCGCUACCCAACCGUGCACCAUACCGUACCAAUCCAGAGGAGACGAAGGAGAUUAUGCGUCAAGUACAGGAGCUGCUCGACAAAGGUUAUAUACGCGAAUCUCUUAGUCCUUGUGCUGUUCCUAUUAUACUAGUGCCUAAAAAGGAUGGUACGUCGCGUAUGUGUGUUGAUUGUAGAGGCAUUAAUAAUAUUACUAUUCGUUAUCGUCAUCCUAUUCCUAGGCUAGAUGAUAUGCUUGAUGAAUUGAGUGGCUCUACAAUAUUCUACAAAGUUGAUUUGCGUAGUGGAUACCAUCAAAUUCGUAUGAAAUUGGGAGAUGAAUGGAAAACUGCAUUUAAAACUAAGUUUGGUUUAUAUGAGUGGUUAGUCAUGCCUUUUGGGUUAACUAAUGCACCUAGUACUUUCAUGAGACUAAUGAACGAAGUUUUACGUGCUUUCAUUGGACGAUUUGUGGUAGUCUAUUUUGAUGAUAUACCGAUUUAUAGCAAAUCUUUGGAAGAACAUUUGGAACAUUUACGUGCUGUUUUUAUUGCUCUACGUGAUGCACGUUUGUUUGGUAACCUUGGGAAGUGCACCUUUUGCACCGACCGAGUAUCUUUUCUUGGCUAUGUUGUUACUCCACAGGGAAUUGAAGUUGAUAAAGCCAAGAUUGAAGCUAUUGAGAGUUGGCCGCAGCCCAAAACGGUCACACAAGUGCGGAGUUUUCUUGGACUCGCUGGUUUCUAUAGGCGUUUUGUGAGAGAUUUUAGCACCAUUGCUACACCUCUCAACGAGCUUACAAAGAAGGAUGUGCCUUUUGUUUGGGGUACCGCACAGGAAGAAGCCUUCACGGUAUUGAAAGAUAAGUUGACACAUGCUCCUUUACUCCAACUUCCUGAUUUUAAUAAGACUUUUGAGCUUGAAUGUGAUGCUAGUGGCAUUGGAUUAGGAGGUGUGUUAUUACAAGAUGGCAAACCUGUUGCAUACUUUUCUGAAAAAUUGAGUGGGCCUAGUCUGAAUUAUUCUACUUAUGAUAAAGAACUAUAUGCUCUUGUUCGGACUUUAGAAACAUGGCAACAUUAUUUAUGGCCCAAAGAAUUUGUUAUACAUUCUGAUCAUGAAUCUUUGAAACAUAUUAAAAGUCAAGCUAAACUGAAUCGUAGACAUGCUAAAUGGGUUGAAUUCAUUGAAACUUUCCCUUAUGUCAUUAAACACAAGAAGGGUAAAGAAAAUGUUAUUGCUGAUGCAUUGUCUCGUCGCUAUACUAUGCUUUCACAACUUGACUUCAAAAUAUUUGGUUUGGAGACCAUCAAAGAUCAAUAUGUGCAUGAUGCUGAUUUUAGAGAUGUAUUGCAGAAUUGUAAAGAAGGAAGAACCUGGAACAAGUUUGUCGUUAAUGAUGGAUUUGUGUUCCGUGCUAACAAGCUAUGCAUUCCAGCUAGCUCUCUUCGUCUUUUGUUGUUGCAGGAGGCGCAUGGAGGAGGAUUAAUGGGACACUUUGGCGUGAAGAAGACGGAGGACGUACUUGCUACACAUUUCUUUUGGCCAAAGAUGAGACGGGAUGUUGAGCGUUUUGUUGCUCGCUGCACUACAUGUCAAAAAGCUAAGUCACGACUCAAUCCUCAUGGUUUAUAUAUGCCUUUGCCUGUACCUAGUGUUCCUUGGGAGGAUAUAUCUAUGGACUUUGUUUUAGGUUUACCUCGAACAAAGAAGGGGAGGGAUAGCAUAUUUGUUGUCGUGGAUAGAUUCUCGAAAAUGGCGCACUUUAUACCAUGUCAUAGAAGCGAUGAUGCUGUUAAUGUUGCUGAUUUGUUCUUUCGUGAAAUUAUUCGCUUGCAUGGUGUGCCAAAUACUAUUGUUUCAGAUCGUGAUACUAAAUUUCUUAGCCACUUUUGGAGAUGUUUAUGGGCUAAGUUGGGGACUAAACUGCUUUUUAGUACUACUUGUCACCCCCAAACUGAUGGACAAACUGAAGUAGUCAAUAGAACAUUGUCUACUAUGCUUAGGGCUGUUUUGAAGAAUAAUAAGAAAAUGUGGGAAGAAUGCUUGCCUCAUAUUGAGUUUGCUUAUAAUCGUUCAUUGCAUUCUACUACUAAGAUGUGCCCUUUUGAAAUUGUGUAUGGUUUCCUACCUCGUGCACCUAUUGAUUUGUUGCCUCUUCCAUCUUCGGAGAAGGUUAAUUUUGAUGCUAAACAACGUGCUGAAUUGAUCUUAAAAAUGCAUGAGUUAACUAAGCAAAACAUUGAGCGUAUGAAUGCUAAAUAUAAACUUGCUGGAGAUAAGGGUAGAAAACAUGUUGUGUUUGCACCUGGAGAUCUUGUUUGGUUACAUUUGCGUAAGGAUAGAUUUCCUGAUUUGCGCAAAUCAAAGCUAAUGCCACGUGCUGAUGGUCCUUUUAAGGUGUUAGAGAAAAUAAAUGAUAAUGCAUAUAAACUUGAGCUGCCUGCAGAUUUUGGGGUUAGUCCCACUUUUAACAUUGCAGAUUUGAAGCCUUAUUUGGGUGAGGAAGAU
rnacentral:rRNA from 1 species